GCGAAAUAGAGAAUCAACAUCUUUCAUUAUGUAAAUUUGGGAUAUACACUAUUCCAAAUGUCCCACUGCUAUAACGUGACGUUAACCCAAAGAAGUUGGCCUAAUAUUGUGAACUAAAUUAGAAACUAAAAAGAAUAUUAAUGGAUACAUUUCUCUCUCUCAUAUGUUUUCCCAAACGUAAAAUUCACAUCCGCCAGCAUCCUAAAGAGCAUAUACUGUACAAGCUGGCAAAUGGCGAUGGCAAAUCAAGAUGACUCCUCAGUGAACCAGUUUAAUCUCUUUUGAGGCCAAGAGUUUUGGUCGGCUACAAGACACAUUCAAAAGUGUCAAUCAGGGGGACAGGAGCAAAAUCUGCACGCACAUGCUUCUAAGAAUUCUGAUCUCCAAAUUCCAUCAUGCAAAACCUCCAUGGUUCAUGUCUUAAUAUCUGAUUGGCCCAUCCAGGCUUCCUGAUGCAAACUGUUGAACAAUUGGAUUGGUUGAUGCAGUGAAUUCAUGAGUUAUCCCUUGCCAAACAAUCUUUCCUUCAUAAAGAAACAACAACCUGUUACCUGUCAACAGCCCUCCCAAUGGUGCUAUGUUGAUGAGCAACAACCAUAUAAGAUGCAAUUUUCCCUGGCUUCCCAACUGCAUCUUCUUCUAUCAUAUGGACAGAACGGAUGAGGUCUUCUACUACAGUAGAUGCAAUUGGAUCAAGUCCAGCAGUUGGCUCAUCAUACAAAAGCACCCCUAGCCUUAUCAGUCUUACUAAACCUCUUCAUCUCUUUUGCCUUAUAGUCCAAGCAUUACAGGGAACAGAGAAGAUCAAAUUACAAAUCUCCUUCAAGAAAAUAAAGGCUGGUAUUCACUCAGUUGCUUAUCGUACCUCUGGCUCUAUUGACUCCUUUGUGAUAUCACAAAUUAUAGAGCCAGCCAAGGCAACUCUUUUCUUCAUUCCACCUGACAACUCUGAAGGUAAUCGAUCUUCAACUCCCUUCAAACCUACAGCAGCCAAUGUUUCCUUUACAAGCUCUGAGAUUUGUUCCUCUCCCAUGUUUGAGUUUUCAUAUAAUAGGAAACCAACAUUUUCACGUACAGUCAAAGAAUCGAAAAGAGCUGCACUUUGAAACACCAAUCCAAUUCGAAGCCCUGAUAUAUCCUGAUCACUAAUUAAACCAUCUCUCUUUCUACCUCGGAUAUAAACCUCCCCCUGCUCAUCAGACAUCAGAUAUAUGUUAGUUUAAAAGUUAUAGAAGUAUCUAAAUUCUAAGGCACAAAACUAAUUCACAUCCUGAUUAUUCAUCUUGUCUGGAGCAAGAAGUCCUGCAAUAAUCUUCAAUAUUGUAGAUUUCCCAGUCCCUGAAGGUCCAAUAAUACCAACUGCUUCACCAUGUCUAAUCUUGAAGCUCACACCUCUCAGAAUAUCCUUCUCCCCAAAUGACUUGUAGACAUUUUUACAUUCAAUUAGAAAAUCAGAAUCAUCCUCCGGUUCCAUUACCGUCUCCAAAUGCUCUGAUUUAUACAAAUUAUUGAAUUUUGUUGCAGGAUAUUCAUCACUGCCUAUGUUCCACGGAGGUGCCAUACAAGCACACACAACUUUUCUCUGCUCAUUUCUCGGUUUAUAACAUAACGAAGUGAUUGUGCCCGCACUCCAAAUAGAGAAUCUAGUAGACCGAGUAGAACCAUGCGGUAAUGUAGCAGGAAACAACAUUGAUCCAGACAAGGAAGCCAUACUUUGUGGAGGCACUUAAGGUUCUGAAUGGUGAUUCUACUGGUUCUGAAGCACACCCAUAUAGAUCUUCAGGCCAAAAAUUACAAAAACAUAAACAAUAUCCAAAAUGAGGAGGGUAAACAGGUUAUGGGUGAAGGAAAUUGCAAUUUUCAAGCAAACCCAGAGGCAAAGAAAUCGAAUUUCACCAUUAAAUUGAAAUUCAACAAAGGCAAACAAACAUGUGCUUUUGAGAGAGGCCAAAAUCCACAAAGCAAUGAAAUGCCGCCAUCGAAACUGAAUCCCAAAUGAGAUAUCAUAGAAAAACAACAAUAAUAAAAGAAACAAGAAAGCCAGCCAAGAACCAAAGAGGCAAACCGAUGUGAACCCAAAAAUAAGAUUGGAAAAGUAAACAAUUAUACAAAAAAAACACGUUUUUCUCGGGCUUAUGAAAGAACGAUAUUACGGGCGUCGCAAUCUUGCUUUUGGUUAGGUGAGCCGAGCUCGCUUUGGACGCAGCUUUUCCAUCUGCUUCUUUCAGGGAAAUUUCUCUCUCCUCCCGGAAAGAGGACAGCGGGAGGAGGAGGGAAAUCUUUGGGAGAUGGAUCUUAUGACCCGACCCGGUUAGGGUGUAUAAAGCGCUUGCAAGCGCAUUUU
rnacentral:misc_RNA from 1 species